rnacentral:rRNA from 1 species
GAUGAACGCUGGCGGCGUGCCUAAUACAUGCAAGUCGAGCGAACAGACGAGGAGCUUGCUCCUCUGACGUUAGCGGCGGACGGGUGAGUAACACGUGGAUAACCUACCUAUAAGACUGGGAUAACUUCGGGAAACCGGAGCUAAUACCGGAUAAUAUAUUGAACCGUAUGGUUCAAUAGUGAAAGACGGUUUUGCUGUCACUUAUAGAUGGAUCCGCGCCGCAUUAGCUAGUUGGUAAGGUAACGGCUUACCAAGGCGACGAUGCGUAGCCGACCUGAGAGGGUGAUCGGCCACACUGGAACUGAGACACGGUCCCGACUCCUACGGGAGGCAGCAGUAGGGAAUCUUCCGCAAUGGGCGAAAGCCUGACGGAGCAACGCCGCGUGAGUGAUGAAGGUCUUCGGAUCGUAAAACUCUGUUAUUAGGGAAGAACAAAUGUGUAAGUAACUAUGCACGUCUUGACGGUACCUAAUCAGAAAGCCACGGCUAACUACGU